GCGCCUGUAGUUCAAUGGAUAGAAUAUUGGCCUCCGGAGCCAAAGAUUGCUGGUUCGAGUCCAGUCAGGCGCA
rnacentral:tRNA from 2 species